GAUGAACGCUAGCUACAGGCUUAACACAUGCAAGUCGAGGGGUAACGAGAGGAAAGCUUGCUUUCCUUGUCGACGACCGGCGCACGGGUGAGUAACGCGUAUCCAACCUGCCCCCAACUAGGGAAUAACCUUGCGAAAGUAAGACUAAUACCCUAUAAUUUCCUCAGAUGUACUCUGACGAGGAAUAAAGAUUUAUCGGUUGUGGAUGGGGAUGCGUCUGAUUAGGCAGUUGGCGGGGUAACGGCCCACCAAACCGACGAUCAGUAGGGGUUCUGAGAGGAAGGUCCCCCACAUUGGAACUGAGACACGGUCCAAACUCCUACGGGAGGCAGCAGUGAGGAAUAUUGGUCAAUGGUCGCAAGACUGAACCAGCCAAGUAGCGUGAGGGAAGACUGCCCUAUGGGUUGUAAACCUCUUUUAUCUGGGAAUAAAGUGAGCCACGUGUGGCUUAUUGCAGGUACCAGAAGAAUAAGGACCGGCUAAUUCCGUGCCAGCCGCCGCAGUAA
rnacentral:rRNA from 1 species